rnacentral:misc_RNA from 1 species
GAAAUGCGAUAAGUAAUGUGAAUUGCAGAAUACAGUGAAUCAUCGAAUCUUUGAACGCACCUUGCGCUCCUUGGUAUUCCGAGGAGCAUGCCUGUUUGAGUGUCAUGGAAUUCUCAACUCUAUUUGCUUUUGUGAAUAGAGCUUGGAUUUGGAGGUUUAUUGCUGGUACUUGUGAUCGGCUCCUCUUGAAUGCAUUAGCUCGAACCUUUGCGGAUCAGCUAUCGGUGUGAUAAUUGUCUACGCCGUUGCAGUGAAGCAUAUCAAUGGGCUCGGCUUCCAAUCGUCCUUUACUGGACAAUGACUUUGACCUUUGACCUCAAAUCAGGUAGGAUUACCCGCUGAACUUAAGC